rnacentral:sRNA from 4 species
AUAUCUCUCUGUACGGGAAGGAUGAGAAGCUUCGACCAAGGUUCGAUUCGAGCGCAGCGAGAAAGCGUUGCCGCAGGCAACGACCCGAAGGG